UACAGAGGUCUCAAGCGUUGUUCGGAUUCAUUGGGCGUAAAGGGUGCGUAGGCGGCGGGGCAAGUCUGAUGUGAAAUCCCGGGGCUCAACCUCGGAACUGCACUGGAUACUGCUCUGCUAGAGAUCUGGAGAGGAGACUGGAAUUUACGGUGUAGCAGUGAAAUGCGUAGAUAUCGUAAGGAAGGCCAGUGGCGAAGGCGAGUCUCUGGACAGAUUCUGACGCUGAGGCACGAAGGCCAGGGGAGCAAACGGG
rnacentral:rRNA from 1 species